CUGGUGGNGUGCCUAACACAUNCAAGUCGAACGCGAAAACCUCGCAAGAGGUCUGUAGAGUGGCAAACGGGUGAGUAAUACGUGGGUGACCUGCCUUCGAGUGGGGGAUAACGUCUCGAAAGGGACGCUAAUACCGCAUGACAUCCUGCCUUUGAACAGGUGGAGAUCAAAGCCGGGGUCGCAANACCUGGCGCUUGAAGAGGGGCCCACGCCCGAUUAGCUAGUUGGUGAGGUAACGGCCCACCAAGGCGACGAUCGGUAGCCGGCCUAAGAGGGCGGACGGCCACACUGGGACUGAGACACGGCCCAGACUCCUACGGGAGGCAGCAGUGGGGAAUUGUUCGCAAUGGGCGCAAGCCUGACGACGCAACGCCGCGUGGAGGAUGAAGAUUUUCGGAUCGUAAACUCCUGUCGAGCGGGACGAAAGAUCCGCGACCUAAUACGUCGUGGAAGUGACGGUACCGCUAGAAGGAAGCCCCGGCUAACUCCGUGCCAGCAGCCGCGGUAAUACGGGGGGGGCAAGCGUUGUUCGGAAUUACUGGGCGUAAAGGGCUCGU
rnacentral:rRNA from 1 species